rnacentral:rRNA from 1 species
CCUACGGGGGUCAGCAGUGAGGAAUAUUGGUCAAUGGGCUUACGCCUGAACCAGCCAAGUCGCGUGAGGGAAGACUGCCCUAUGGGCUGUAAACCUCUUUUGUCAGGGAGCAACGCCGGCUACGUGUAGCCGGACUGCGAGUAACCGACGAAACAGCAUCGGCUAACUUCGUGCCAGCAGUCGCGGUAAUACGGAGGAUGCGAGCGUUAUCCGGAUUUGUUGGGUUUAAAGGGUGCGCAGGCGGAAGAUCAAGUCAGCGGUAAAAGUGAGAGGCUCAACCGCUGCGAGCCGUUGAAACUGGUGUUCUUGAGGGAGUGAGAAGAGUGCGGAAUGCGUGGUGUAGCGGUGAAAUGCAUAGAUAUCACGCAGAACACCGAUUGCGAAGGCAGCAUACCGGCGCUCAACUGACGCUCAGGCACGAAAGUGUGGGUAUCGAACAGGAUUAGAUACCCGUGUAGUC